rnacentral:lncRNA from 1 species
AGCGCAGGAGUCACGAUGGGAAAGAUGCAGCAGAGCUGCUGAGUUCAUCAUUUUGCUCUGAAUCUGAAUAUCUCUGAGUUCGAUUUUCAGUUUAUCUUUUUCUUUUCUGGAUGAAUACUUUCCGGGUGAUCUCAAUAUGCUUCUGAAUAAGUGCGAUUCAUGAGCAGGUUUGAUAUUAUUUUACAGCAUUUGACUAAUUGAAGGAAAUCCAUCCUAUUUGAUUGUAGGAUUAAGAUGAUGAUGAUGAUGAUGAUACCAAUGCUCUGAGGAGUGAUAUUCUUAUACCAUAUUCCCAGGAACCGGUUUCUUGAUCUCAGCGGGCUAAAAAAUCCCAACUCAAAUCUUCCUCCUGCUGAAGCUAGCAUCUCACCAUCUAUCAGGGUCUCGCCUGGUUUAAGGGUAUCCUGAGCACUACAAGUUGUUGAGAAGUGGAAUAUGAAGGCGCAUACAAGCACUAUUAUGCCUGCCAUAAGCCUUCUAUGUGAUUCAACAGAUUCAAAUGCAUAAGAACAAUACUAUGUACGUGAAGAAAGAGGGAAAUUAUAAAGAAGUGAGAAAUGAAGCGGGAUUCCAAAUUGUUGAUCUGUCAGCAUGCAGAAGACAAAGUUGACCAAGCUGCUAAAAUAAUUUGUAAGUCAACAAACAAAGUUCCUGGCAGUUUCCCAUUUAAAGAUUAUCUUAGUUUACCUUCCUUGCUAGAAUUUUCAUGGACAAAGAUGUUUUGUGAUUUUCAAUGAGACAAUGACGUGUUUGGCAUAACAGUGCUGGUCAUGGUUGAAGUUUAAAUGUACUGUCAAGGUCCAGAGAAAUAGGCUAAUGUUUUUGUCCUAAUUUUCAAUUAGGUUCUUACUCUUUCAUUUAAUAUUAUAAUUACAAUAAUGAGACUAAUAUAAUUGUUAUUACAAUUGAACCAAAAUAUCUGACUAUCUCCAUCUCUUAG